CCAAUAGCGUAUAUUAAAGUUGUUGCAGUUAAAAAGCUCGUAGUUGAAUUUCGGGAUUGGCGCAUCGGUCGUGCCUCACGGGGUAUGAACUGGUGCAGUCAAUUUCUCACCUUCUGGAGAACCGCGAUGUCCUUAAUUGGGUGCCGCGGGGAACCAGGACCUUUACUUUGAAAAAAUUAGAGUGUUUAAAGCAGGCAUUUUUGCUUGAAUACAUUAGCAUGGAAUAAUAAAAUAGGACGGAAUGGUUCUAUUUUGUUGGUUUCUAGGACCACCGUAAUGAUUAAUAGGGAUAGUUGGGGGCAUUAGUAUUCAAUUGUCAGAGGUGAAAUUCUUGGAUUUAUUGAAGACUAACUACUGCGAAAGCAUUUGCCAAGGAUGUUUUCAUUAAUCAAGAACGAAAGUUAGGGGAUCGAAGACGAUCAGAUACCGUCGUAGUCUUAACCAUAAACUAUGCCGACUAGGAAUCAGACGAUGUUAAUUUUUUAAUGACUCGUUUGGCACCUUACG
rnacentral:misc_RNA from 1 species